CGUGGUCUGAGUGGACGGCUGGGGGUGGGUGCCUCUGUGGGCGGAGGGGCGGGCGGAAUCAACUCCCGGCCUCCCUCCCUUUCCCUCUCUGGACUCCUAAGGGUUGGGAAAAGCCGAGCACAAGGACAAGUGGAGCUGCUUGAGAUGGAACCGGACCGACCUGCGUCACCAGGCAGAACGCGAAACCCGCCAGGGGAGGAAAAGGCCCAUGUCCCUGGGCCGGCUCUGCGGGUCAUGCUCCUCAGAUGUCGCGGAGAUGCACAGCCCAAGAAAACCUGACUGCCUCCGCCCCCACAAUCUCUAAUCUAGCCGCGAACUGGCAUUUCAUGGACGGGACAAGUGGAGUCAGGAGAUGGGAUGGUCUCAGCAGAGCCCCGGGGCGUGGGUGGAGAACGCAGACUCCCAGGACAUUUGUCUCAAGCAAUGCAGAAGAGCAACACAGAAAGGACACAGCCGUUGGGACUGAGGCCAGCAGUCUACAGGGUGUUUACCAUAUAAAUCACUUGUUCUGAGAUGAA